AUAAAGUUAGGGUUAGAAGAAAAUUCAGGGUAAAGCACUUCUCCACUCCCUUCCUUGGCAUAACUCUUCAACCUCCUCCAUACCCACCAAGCUCGUCCAUACCCACCAAAUAGAAUUCCACAACAUUGUAAAUUGGAGAAAGAAACCGUCUUUUGGCGCUGGUUUUUGGGAUUUUUGGCUCCAAAUGAAUGUCAGGAUAACCACUAUAUAUAUAUAUGAGAAAAAUGACUGGAAAAAAUACAUUGCAAAGUGAAGCAAAAUUUCUGAACAGGUAUGUAUCAUUUCACCUACUCUUUGUUUGAAUAAGAUUCAAUAGAUUGUAAUUGCCACAAUCAUAUAUCAAAUUAUUAAUUCAUUAAUUAUUUGUGGCAUAGACAUUGAUAUGCUUUUAUUUUGUCUCAUAUGAUCAAUCUAGAUGAGAAUAAAUCAAUUAGAAGAUUUUGAAACAGAAACUCUUUAAUUUACUGUGUAUAUUUAGAGUUUUUAGUUUACUGUGUAUAUUUAUAGUUUUGCAUGGUGUACUGAAGGGGAAAUAUUAGAUAUUAUCAUAGUAGGCAUCUAUUUUGUGUAUAUAUUGACGUUUUCUGUCUGGUUUUGAGGGAAGAGUGGAUGGAUUGUGAAAAUAUGGUAUUAAAGCUUCUGUUUGAAUCAAAUCAUGCUUCUUGGUGGCCCUUGGGAAUUUGUUUGAUCGGAUAAUGGCACUUUAAAUUUAGAUGAACUGAAACAAAGUGUUUUAAGGUGAAUAUUUUGUAGGGUAAUUUAUAUUUUUGUUGAAACCAGUAAACAUUCCUUCACUAGGCUCAAUCUUUGUCAGACACACAGCUUCUUUUAAAUCUGCUGCAUGUAUAACUUAUAAGAUCUUUGGUAUAAGUUUUUGAAAAAAAUUAAUAUUAUGGAAAAAUAAAGGAGCUGUUGAUAGUUCCCAUACUAUUUUUAGUUUUGAUAUGUCUUUAUAAUUUUGAUAUCGUUGCCCAAGUAAGUCUAGUGCCUCUUCUCUUGCUUUUUCUUGCCAGUGAGUGUGCCUAGAAGAAAAAUAGUCCAUGAGAGCAAUGUCUGCGUUGUUUCUUGUUC
rnacentral:lncRNA from 1 species